GAUCAGGAUUUUUGCAUUUUUUGCCGUCGCAUUGUUUUGAAACUUAUUCGGUCAAAUUUUAUGGUAAAGAGAAACUUACCGCGAAGAUUUUGAGCAUAUAUAUGAUUGAAUUGGAUGAAAAAUCGCAAAAUUAUCCAGCGAUAAAAGUUCGUGUGAAAUGGUCAGUUGGUCAGUUGGAGCGUUUUAUUGCCAGAAAUACUGUGCUAUGUUAACAUCUAGCCUUGUGAAUUGUGUUUUAUACUUGCAUCUCUCAUCAUCAUCUGCUCUGUCCUCAUAAUUAUGAAAAAUGAACUGUUAUGUACCUCCCCCCCUCCUUGCUUGUUAGAGAAGUAAACUGAUGAGAGCACUGGAUGAGGGUUUAUCAUCUAUGGUCUGUUAUAAUUUGCUUUUUAUGCAAAUAGUGAGCAAAAAUUAAAGCAAAACUGUACAAGUUACAUAUAUAGUAUUAUAU